AUGCACGCUGGCGGCGUGCCUAAUACCUGCCAGUCGCGCGAACAGACGAGGAGCUUGCUCCUCUGACGUUAGCGGCGGACGGGUGAGUAACACGUGGAUAACCUACCUAUAAGACUGGGAUAACUUCGGGAAACCGGAUCUAAUACCGGAUAAUAUAUUGAACCGCAUGGUUCAAUAGUGAAAGACGGUUUUGCUGUCACUUAUAGAUGGAUCCGCGCCGCAUUAGCUAGUUGGUAAGGUAACGGCUUACCAAGGCAACGAUGCGUAGCCGACCUGAGAGGGUGAUCGGCCACACUGGAACUGAGACACGGUCCAGACUCCUACGGGAGGCAGCAGUAGGGAAUCUUCCGCAAUGGGCGAAAGCCUGACGGAGCAACGCCGCGUGAGUGAUGAAGGUCUUCGGAUCGUAAAACUCUGUUAUUAGGGAAGAACAAAUGUGUAAGUAACUAUGCACGUCUUGACGGUACCUAAUCAGAAAGCCACGGCUAACUACGUG
rnacentral:rRNA from 1 species